AACGGCCAUACCAUGGUGAAUAUACCGGUUCUCGUUAGCAUCAUUGGCAUUUGAAGCAUCAUUGGGCGCGGUCAGUACAUGGGUGGGUGACCACCUGGGAACACCGCGUGCCGUUG